rnacentral:rRNA from 1 species
AUUGAACGCUGGCGGCAGGCCUAACACAUGCAAGUCGGACGGUAGCACAGAGGAGCUUGCCCCUCGGGUGGCGAGUGGCGGACGGGUGAGUAAUGUCUGGGGAUCUGCCCGAUAGAGGGGGAUAACCACUGGAAACGGUGGCUAAUACCGCAUAACGUCGCAAGACCAAAGAGGGGGACCUUCGGGCCUCUCACUAUCGGAUGAGCCCAGAUGGGAUUAGCUAGUAGGCGGGGUAAUGGCCCACCUAGGCGACGAUCCCUAGCUGGUCUGAGAGGAUGACCAGCCACACUGGAACUGAGAAACGGUCCAGACUCCUACGGGAGGCAGCAGUGGGGAAUAUUGCACAAUGGGCGCAAGCCUGAUGCAGCCAUGCCGCGUGUAUGAAGAAGGCCUUCGGGUUGUAAAGUACUUUCAGCGGGAGGAAGGCGGUGAGGUUAAUAACCUCACCGAUUGACGUUACCCGCAGAAGAAGCACCGGCUAACUCCGUGCCAGCCGCCGCGGUAA